UACGUAGGGGGCAAGCGUUGUUCGGAAUUACUGGGCGUAAAGCGCGCGUAGGCGGUUUGUAAAGUCAGAUGUGAAAGCCCCGAGCUCAACUUGGGAACUGCAUUUGAUACUGUCAGACUAGAGUACAGAAGAGGUGACUGGAAUUCCCAGUGUAGCGGUGAAAUGCGUAGAUAUUGGGAGGAACACCAGAGGCGAAGGCGGGUCACUGGUCUGAUAUUGACGCUGAGGAGCGAAAGCGUGGGGAGCAAACAGG
rnacentral:rRNA from 1 species